UUAGAAGGAUGUAACUAAGGACAAAUUGAACAUGGCUUUAGCUAUCGAAACUUACUCGACAGACCUAAGAAUACAGUGGGAUAAUGCCAAAGUAAUGAAACUGGUUAAGAAAAGAACACAAGCAUACACAACAGAUAUGUUGGAAAUAAUGAGGAGACAGAAUGACGAGAAGCUAUUGACUGACAGGACAUUCACCGAGCUACCUACAGUGUGGAAGUAUGCCUUGGAGACAUUGAGGAGAGAUUAAUAAAAGACUAAUUGUUGAAUCAUUAAUUAAAUGUACUGUGAGGGAAGUGAAGGCCUAAAGGAUCCUAUAUAACCUUUGUAUAUGACACUAUAUUGUUAAACUGUAAAUACGAAUGAACCUUAUAUAAUUUCAGAUCUUUUAGUUCACUGUUCUAUUGAUUGUUAUUUUAUUUUGUUAUUUAUUUUAAUUCUUAAAUAGUAAGGAAAUUCAAACUGCUCUUUACGGUAUUAAACUUAUAACUUCUUUGUGUUGUCGGCGCUUGCGAGCGGACC
rnacentral:lncRNA from 1 species